UUUUACAUGGACUAUUAAGAGUCAAUUUGGGUUUAGCAGUGAACCUAUGCUUAGUCAUAUUAGGUGUUAUACAUGUUUAAUAAUAUGAUACACCAUUGGUUAGGAACCUAAAACAAUUGGGAGAGGAUACAAAGUUGAUUGCGGGAAUCCUAUCGCACUUGUGAUUUGGAUUUUAAGAUGGUGGAACCGGUGUUGAGGCAAGGUUAGACUUUGGCAGCAGUUAUGAGGCUCGUGCCUACGAGACACCGGAUGCUGAUGGACAUCACUUCUACUAUUUCAAAUCUUCCUUUUUUAUGUAUAUAUGUAUAAAAUGUAUAGUAGGUAAUAUUGUAACAUUUGGUUGUUUACAGACAUGGAAUUUUGUAUUAUACAACUUAUCAUUUUAGUAAAUCACUAGUGGUAAAUGUAAGAUUUUAUUAGCGUA